GAUGAAGAACGCAGCGAAAUGCGAUAAGUAGUGUGAAUUGCAGAAUUCAGUGAAUCAUCGAAUCUUUGAACGCACAUUGCGCCCCCUGGUAUUCCGGGGGGCAUGCCUGUCCGAGCGUCAUUGCUGCCCUCAAGCACGGCUUGUGUGUUGGGCCUCCGUCCUCCUCCCGGGGGACGGGCCCGAAAGGCAGCGGCGGCACCGCGUCCGGUCCUCGAGCGUAUGGGGCUUCGUCACCCGCUCUUGUAGGCCCGGCCGGCGCUUGCCGACACAUCAUUCUUUUUUCCAGGUUGACCUCGGAUCAGGUAGGGAUACCCGCUGAACUUAAGCAUAUCAAUAAGCGGAGGA
rnacentral:misc_RNA from 1 species